GCAAACUUGGUCAUUUAGAGGAAGUAAAAGUCGUAACAAGGUUUCCGUAGGUGAACCUGCGGAAGGAUCAUUAUCGAAGUUAUAUUCUUUCUAUUCGUGAACUAUAUGAUUUGUUUGGGGGUGCGUUUUUUCUUUCGAGAGCCACCCCCGAGGAGAACUAAAUUCUUUAAAUUUGUUGACUGAAAUAAUAAACAAUUGUAAUAAUUUUUUUAAAACUUUCAACAACGGAUCUCUUGGUUCUCGCAUCGAUGAAGAACGCAGC
rnacentral:misc_RNA from 1 species